AGGAAAUGAAGACAAUUUACACUGCGGUCUUGGAGGCUCACCGCUAGGGGCAGAGUGGGUUGUACUCGCCAGGUUAAAACAACUCCCAGACAACCUAUUCACGUGAGAGCUCAAAGCAGCCAUAAUUUUCUGCACUCAAAAUCUUUCCGGUAAGGUUCUCCGCGUAUUGUCUCCUUGGUAAUUGGAAAACAUGGGACUGGGAGUGCAAUUGCAGGGCAUCUCCAGUCCUCCAGGAUACGAUCUGGCUGCUACAGAAGAGGACCAGGAGGAAGCUCUGCUCAGAAAAAGGAUAGAAAGGCAGCAUGGAAACCCUGCUUCAAGGAAACACGAGAUUCACUAUGCUCUUGGCGAACCUCCCGCGAAAAGAGACUUCUAGGGAGGAAGGAUCCCCAGAGAGGCUCCCUGACCACUGCAAGCACUUCUCAAAGGGCUUGAAGGAGCUCAACGAAAAAACCCCAUUGCUGCCCAAGACUUCUGAGAGCCAAACUGGUAGAUUUGUGCAACCUGCAGUGAAAUUGUCCACACUAUACGCAAAGAUUAAACUCUGUGUCUUUAUAAGCAGGCAGAAAGGAUUCCAGCUUCCUUAGGUGUUCGCUGAUUGGGAUCCAGAAGCCCGCAACAAAUGGAUUCGCUUCCUCCUUUGUGCUUUCUCCUCCAGGGAGGAAGGAUCCCCAGAGAGGCUCCCUGACCACUGCAAGCACUUCUCAAAGGGCUUGAAGGAGCUCAACGAAAAAACCCCAUUGCUGCCCAAGACUUCUGAGAGCCAAACUGGUAGAUUUGUGCAACCUGCAGUGAAAUUGUCCACACCGAUACGCAAAGGUUAAACUCUGUGCCUUUAUAAGCAGGCAGAAAGGAUUCCAGUUUCCUUAGGUGUUCGCUGAUUGGGAUCCGGAAGACCACAGCAAAUGGAUUCGCUUCCUCCUUUGUGCUUUCUCCUCCAGGGCGGAGGGAGAGAACCUGGAAGAAGCCUAUCUUGGCAUUCUUGAUGCUACACUGCCAUCCAGCGGAAUUACUUUGCUGUACUGCCACCACCUCUAUGAAGCUUUUUCUCAGUCUGUCUGAAAGUGAGAUGUGAGUGCCCAGGCCUUCUGGUUCAAAUAUUGAAUCAGCAACCAAUGAACAAAUGAAGGUACGUCCAGCCAACUGACCUGUUCUGGGGUUAGACAGGGUUUGUUUUUGGAGUAAUAAAUUCAGCUACUCGGGAAUUUGGCUCCAGCUGCAGAUGUAGCAGAGGAGAUGGCUUUGCUUGGCAUCAAUAGGAGGAGAUGCCCUUGGUCCUAUAAAGGCUAAAUACCCCAGUGUAGGGGAAUACCAGAGAUUUGAGGUGAAAGUGGGUACAUCCUCAUAGAACCAGGUAGAUGAGGGAGGGGAAUGGGAGGGGGGAAUAACAUUUGAAAUGUAAAUACAUAAUAUAUUCAAUUAAAAAAAACCAGUAGGAUUAAUUCAGAAAGACUGGUGGUCAGAAAAACUCAACCACAUUGUAGUCUCCUGGCAAAGAGAAACCCCAGGGUCAAGGUCAAAAUGACUCCUCCACCAUGUGGUGACUAUUUUAAGUAGGAAGCUGACCUGUUCAACCAGAGGAAUCAUGGGUAGAAUAAGUCCCAACUUUGACAGGUGGCAGAAAUGGAGCUAUAUUCUCCUAGACUUCAGAGUAAGCUAGCUGUGUGUUCCUGUGUUUUACACUUGCAUCUCAAGAUGUCCUCUGCAGAGGAAGCAAGGUCAUAGAGUAUCCAGAAUCCAUGGCAAAGUCUCUUGCCUCUAGUAGGUUGGAAGACAUUACUAAACUCAGACACAGGAACAUGGUUAGUCUACAGUGUAAGUCUUUUAGAGACUCAACCUCUGCAUAGAAUAGAUGGGUACACCUGACAGGCAGUGCUCAGAUCACUGAGCAGUGACAUUCUGUUCCGUUGGGAGGUGCAAGUCUUUGUUUUCGAUGCUCUGCCCAAGACCCUUCCCUUGAAAGUGUGUGAAAGGUGCCAGGUCCAGUCUUUAGGUAUGUCUUGCCUUGGGCCAGUGAGAACUUGUAGCAAGACAGUCAGGCACAAGAGCUUCAUCCAUAUCUCCAUAAUGAAAUUUGCUCUACCUCAGAAGCUCCCUCUUGUGUAUCUUAAGGCCUUCUUUCUCAGGGAAAUUACAUGCUUCACAAUAGUCACAAAUAUUAUAAAAUACCCUGGGGUAACUCUAACCAAACGAGUGAAGGUUCUGUAUAUAACAACUUCAAGUCUCUAAAUAAAUAAAUAAAUAAAUAGGAAGAAGAGCUCAGAAAAUGGAGAGAUAUCCCACAAUUAUGAACUAGUAGGCUAAACCUAGUAAAAUGGCCAUCUUAACAAAAUCAGUUUACAGAUUAAAUGCAAUCCCCAUCAAAAUCCCAACACAAUUCAUUAAAAACAUGGAAAAAGCAAUUCUCAAUUUCAUGCUGCACAUGAUUUUUAAAAACCAAGAUCCACAUACAAGUAGUACUAUUUCCCUGUGAGAAAAUGAAAUACGGGCAAAUAUCUUUUCUGGCAGAGGCUGAGUAGGAUAGUGGAAAGUAUUGUUUAUAGACAACGAGAUCAUAAUAUUUUCCAGGAACGGUCAAAGAGAUGGAAUACAGCCAGAACUGAGGAGCUAGUGGGUUGGUAGCAGCUGGGAUAGGCUAACAGUUCUUUGAAAUUUACUAGUUCCCAGUUAGGUUCAAUGGGAGCCUACUGUUUCAUUAGAGUCUGAAAUUGCCUCAACACAAAAUCUCAUGUGAGCAGCCAGUACUGGUGCAUACCUUUAAUCACAGCACAUAGGAGGCAGAGUUAUGCAGAUUUCUUGGAGUUCAAGGUCAGCCUGGUCAACAACACAAGUUUCAGGAGAGCCUGACCUGCUACAGAGAGAAACUCUGUCUCGGAAAACAAAAGGUUGGGGCAAAACAGCUCAUGUGAGCUAUGCAAGAUGGCUGACAGACACAACUGAGUACACAGACAGGGUCCUAGAAUUCUUAGGCUAGGGUCUCAGGGAAAGAAAACCAAAGGGUUCUGAUGACAGUUGUCCUUUCUCCUCUUUCUCCUCUGGUUCUCUUCCAUGGUCUGAGGAACUGGGGCUGUGAAAAUAGAAACAAUCCCUAUGUAUUCUCUACUCUGCACAAGCUGGAGUCUCCUCAUCCUUGGCCAUGUGUGGCUGGCACGUAGACUUGCAGACUGGAGAUGCCCUGGAAUUGAACUCACUGCCCCAUGUUUGCAGAACAGUUAAGAAAAAACAUACCUGGAGAACCUUACUAGGAAGAUUUUGAGGGCUGAAAGUUAUGGCUGCUUUGAGCUCUCAAGGGAACUGAUGCCUGGGAUCCUAAGGAUCUGAAUACAUGGAGAAGGACAAAGAAAUUUCCAAUCUGAGGUCUUUGGAUCCUUAAGCCAAUAGAACAGAAUAGAGAGGAGAGCUGCUAACCAAACACUUCGGUCUUCUUGUCUAAAGAUCUCAACUUAUGGAGUCCAUGACCCUGGAUUUGCAUGGGUGGAUGUUCUGGGCCAUUGCUACAUCAUGGAUGUUUUCCCGGCCUGUGGGUUGUGUGGGGACCUGAUUUGAUGCUGAACCACGGAUUCCAAGUCCAAGACAAAGAGAGCUCUCCCAGCAAAACUCCUGAAGUACAGCAGAAGAAUAAAGGGAAUAAAAAGGAAGCCAAAAGACAGAAAAUACAGAAAGGAAGGGAAGAAAAAAAGCAGAGACAACAGGCUGAGUAUCUAAGAGUGGAAGGAGGGAAGGAAUGAAAAAGAGGGAGUAAUGGAAGUGAGAGUAGGGUAGAGAGUAUGAUGAAUUGAAAGGACUGACAUAUUUUUGACCUCUAGAUGGCAUUUCUCGAGACCCUGAAGCUCAUGAACAAAGUCCAGAAUCUCAUGGGCACUGGCUGAUUCCAAGAAAUGAGAUAUAUAUGCAGAAAGGUAUCUAAAAAACAGGUCAGAGGCAAUUGGGGGAGAUUCCUAACCUUGAUCAGCAAGUUACCCACAUAUCUGUGCCCCAGUUGAUGAAUCCGAAAUAGUGUUCCUCAUCACUGUGCAAACAUGGCCGCCUCGAGAUCACAAAGCCCAUAUUCGCAAGUAGCUGAAUUUAUUACUCAGAGAAGCAAGCUGGCUAACCGCAGAACCUGCCAGUUGGCUCAAGCUACCUUCACUUUAAUAUUUGAACCAGAAGCUGAAGCACUCCUCACCCACUACCAGACUUGCCAAGGAAAAGCUUAUGGAGGUGUUGAUAAGAACAGCAAAGCAAUUCCACUGGAUGGCAGUGUAGUAUCAAGAAUGUGAAGAUACCCUUCUUACAGGUUCUCUCCCUCCGCCCUUCUUGGAGUGAAAAAAAAAAAAAAAACUGAAACAGUUCAACAUAACACUUGACUCUGAUAUAUGUUAGAUAGAAAUUGGUUCCUUAUGUCUACAGUACCUAUUAUCACUGAUCUGACCUGGGUGGUCUCUGUUUCAGUGUAUUAAGAUAUUCUCCCACAAGGACAGGGACCAUCCUCAAGGCAUAAGGGCCAAACAGGAAAACCCAAUGAGGAUCCCUUCCCCUGGAUGCAAGGGUCAGGAGAAGCCAUAGAAACAAACUUCUAGCCAGAGACUUAGUCUGGGGCACAGUACAGCACCAUCAGUUCAGCACUCGAGUUCGCACUAAAUUCGGAACUGCAAAGCUAGAAAGAAGAGUCAGAAGACGCAAUACAUAUAAAUUCUUCAGAAGAAACGGGACCUUGGGCUGAGUACAAGUCCCUCCUGUGCUACCAAGAUAUAUCUAUUCUUCAGUCCUUUGCCCCCAGACAUUUUGAGAGAAAACACACUGAAUUAUUGGUGGGAACAUUAAGAACAGAUCACUUGCUGACAGUAUUGAACCAAGAAGCCAAGGUACCCAUCUUUCAGGUUCUCUCCCUCCACCCUUCUUUGAUAAACAACAACAACAACAACACCACACACACACACACACACACACACACACACACACACACACACACACACACAUUUUGCCAAUAAAUCCCAAGUUGACUGACCUUAAUCAUGGCCUCCUUUGGCCAGAGAUGGGCUUUGGAGCUUCACUGUAUACAUACUGUCUCGGAGGUCACAGGCCACACAAGUUCCUCAUUCCCAGUCCAACACAAGAACGUGGCAUGCCCUCAGAAACAUACAGGAAAACUAAGAGCAAUGGUCAAAAGAAGGUCUACAAAUACAUUCUUAGGCAGAAACUUGACCUUGGGCAACAUAUGACUCACUCACAUCUUUCCAGAAAUAAUCUGACUGGCCCAUAUGUACAUAACUUAUAACUGGAAUUUUGUCAGUGAGUGCCAAGGUAAACCAUAGAGUGUUCAGUCCUCCCACGGGGAAGAAGAGAUUGUAUAGCCAUUCGACAACCAAGCUUCUAGUUCAAGGCUACCUGAUUCUUCUCCCUACACAUACAUACCAGGCUCCUGACAGGAAAAGUUGGAAGGACAAAUAAGGAAGACAGUUGGAACAAUAGAGACAACCAGCUAUUCAAACAGAGUCAAGGGCCAGUGAUACAUUCAAACCUAGAAGAAGGAGAUGCCAGGUUGUAGUGAAGAAGAAAAAAAAAAAAAAAAACCACACACAAACACACAGAUGCUUUCCUUUUUGAGUGCCCUAGUUCCUUUUUUACAAACCAGAGUCAAAAUAAAAACUACAACUGUCACCCAAA
rnacentral:sRNA from 1 species